UGUUAUUUUGUAAGUACCUGCUUGGCAAAUUAUAAAUAGAACAUCCGGGGUUGACCGUAUAAUAGUGAAAGGACCCUAGGAAAUUCUUUGUCUAUUGUCCCUACAACGGGACAAGAUUUUGAAGAAUUCCUUCGUCGAAUUUUGAUUUUAUAAAGACGUUUAUAAAGUGAUGAUGGUUACCAAAAAAAUUAGAGAGUGAUUUAAUAUUUAGUUUUAUUAAAUUUAUUUCAUCGCAUGAAAAAAUAAUGCUUAACUUCCGUAUUUACUAUACAAUACAUCAGAUGUUUGAGGCGUGCAUUCGGACUUUCCCUUUUUUCGGUAUUUAUGUUUAUUGCACUUCACAGUGACUCAUUCCAAUAUUUCCAGUUGGGUCUCAACCACCGAAGCUUUCUUGUGUAUCCGUUACUCACUUCAUUUUUAACACAGUUUUGUGAAAAUUUCUGCCAUUCAGAGUCGGGUUGUACUUAUUUACACUAGUUUUUUCAGAUAAGCUGGAAAGACCACCAUUAAUCACUGAAGAUACUCCCACUAAUUAUGAAGAACUUACGGUGAUUGUUUUUGAAAAUGAGGCGCCAUAAAAUAUUGCAAAGAUUUGAAACAAAUACAAAACACAUGUGCGAAACGAAAGAAAUGCUAAAGGAAACGAGUGAAAAAAUCUCUAACAUGAAAACGUCAUCAAAUCUGAGAAUUGAAAAAGAAAACAAAAAUAGAAGUUAUGCCGCCAAGACCACACCUAAACAAAUUUUGACGAAUUACAAGAUUAUUUUUGCCUAUUAGAACAAGCAGAUUUCUUUGUAAGUUAAAAAAAUACAAUGAAUUCAUAUAUACAUAUAUAACAUAUAACAUUGGAUAUUAUAUACAGGUAGAUGCCUGUAACACCACGAUACUUUUUGGUAACUUACUAUACAUGGCACAUUUCGCUUCAUUGUAAAAA